AGUAGAAUUGCUAGGUCAUAUGGUAACUAAGGUUAACUUUUUGAGAAACUGCCAGACUGUCUUACAGAGUGGCUGCACCAUUUUACAUUCCCACCAGCAGU
rnacentral:pre_miRNA from 1 species